GGAAGAGCUGUGGCUCAGUGGAAGAGCAUCUGCUUUGCACACAGAAGGUCCCAGGUUCAAUUCCUGGCAUUUCCA